ACGAAUCUUCAAUAUGAGGGUCUCUCCAGGGUGCCCUCUCUCCAGAGCCUUCAUCUCAGGUAGAAACAGCAGCAGAGGCCCAUGGAUGUGAACCAGCUUGUCUGAUCUGCAGUGAGGAGGGGUGUAAGGAGUCAUCAUUAUGCAAAAAAGAAUAAUCGGAAACGGGAAAGUCUGGGAACAUGGCAAACAUGAUGGCCUUUGGUCUAGUGAGUGCAGGCAGUCAGCAGGAUCCAUCCUGACAGGUGAGAUGCACAGAGAAGAGCCACCUGCAGGUGUGCACUGGAGCCCAGGGUGGAAGCGCGGCUGCUCGGGAUUGAGGGAGGGGUCAGGGCAAUUCGCUUGAGGAGAGGACAUUUGCGCUGGGCUCUGGAAAAGGAGCAUGCUUGCCAGGAGGAGGAGACACAUGAAGGCAUUUGAGGCAAAGCAGGUGAUAAAAGGGCAAAAGGGUGCAGGGGCAGAUGACCUGGGUCUCAAUCCCAGCUCUGCUGUUUGUUGGUUCUGUGACCUUGGGGAAGUCAUCUUCCUUCUCUGAGCCUCUGUUUCUUCA
rnacentral:lncRNA from 1 species